UUGACACGUCGAUUCCCAUACGAUCAUCAAUGUUAAGCAUCGUCGAGCCUGGUCUGUACUUAGAUGAGUGUUCUCUUUGGAAUCCCCUGUGCUGUAAG